CCGAUUCAUAAUCGUAAGAAAGCCGCUUCCUUUUAUUUCACAGUGUCGGACCAGAGUGGUAGUAUGAAAUCCAUAUAAAUGCAUGGGGAGACAAGGUUCCUGACGCUGACUUCGCGCUAAAGAAAGUCAAGUUUUUCAAUUUAACGCUGAAAAAAUAUAAGCAUGCAUACAAAGCAUCUGGAAUGUAUUUCCACAUCAUAUAUCUCAAUUAUUGUACAAUUAAUAAUAUAAGGGCUAUAUAGAAGCUAUAAGUUCCAAAUUUAAUUUAAUGAAAGUCAUUGUAAUCUUUGAACUUUCUUUAAACUAUGUCCAUAGCAUAAGAAAUGUGCUCAAAAUAAAUAAUAUGAAAACAUAUUUCACCUAACUUAUUAGAACCAAACAAAGUCUUUCCAUUCUCAGCCGAUUUGGUAUUCUCUUUUUGGAUGGGACCUUCAAAACUUGUCCGGAAAUUUUUACUCAAAUUUUCACAAUCCAUGGAAUUGUGCACAAUGUGGUGCUCCCCCUCGUGUACGCCUUGUUGCCGAACAAAACUGCCCAAUCCUAUCUAGCAGUUCUUGCAAAAUCUCGUCAAAAUGUGUGGAGCAAGGAAUUCAAGCUCCACGUCCGCAUUCCAUGCUCUGUGACUUUGAAAUGGGCAUAAUAAGCGUUUCCAAGCAAGUUUUUCUAGCGUCCCGUAUUGCGCUCUGCUUUUUCCAUUUAGCCCAAAGUGUUUGGAGGCAUGUGCAAACGCUUGGACAACAUUGUGCGCCCCGUUUCAAAAAUAUGUCCAAUUCUCACGGCCAAAGAUUAAGAUAAAACACAGUUAAUGAAAAUUAAAAGUAAUUUAAAAAAAAAAUGUGGUGUUCUAAUUACAAUAUUUCGAUGUUAAUGACAACCCUUUUGAGCAAAGCUCAAGGGGGGAGAAUGCAAAGUAAAAACAGCUAAUACUUAUACUUCUAGGUUAGAUAUAUUUUUCAUUGGUCAUUCGUUUAUGUGCUGUCGACAAGUAAUGAUCAUAAUGAGAAAACCAUAAAUAAAAAUUCAUUAUUUCAAAGUG